rnacentral:rRNA from 1 species
AUUGAACGCUGGCGGCAUGCCUUACACAUGCAAGUCAAACGGUAACGCGGGGCAACCUGGCGACGAGUGGCGAACGGGUGAGUAAUGUAUCGGAACGUGCCCAGUUGUGGGGGAUAACUGCUCGAAAGAGCAGCUAAUACCGCAUACGACCUGAGGGUGAAAGCGGGGGAUCGCAAGACCUCGCGCAGUUGGAGCGGCCGAUAUCAGAUUAGGUAGUUGGUGGGGUAAAGGCUCACCAAGCCAACGAUCUGUAGCUGGUCUGAGAGGACGACCAGCCACACUGGGACUGAGACACGGCCCAGACUCCUACGGGAGGCAGCAGUGGGGAGUUUUGGACAAUGGGGGCAACCCUGAUCCAGCCAUGCCGCGUGCGGGAAGAAGGCCUUCGGGUUGUAAACCGCUUUUGUCAGGGAAGAAAAGACUCCUGUUAAUACCGGGGGUUCAUGACGGUACCUGAAGAAUAAGCACCGGCUAACUACGUGCCAGCCGCCGCGGUAACAC